CCAGACUCCUACGGGAGGCAGCAGUGGGGAAUAUUGCACAAUGGGGGAAACCCUGAUGCAGCAACGCCGCGUGAAGGAAGACGGUUUUCGGAUUGUAAACUUCUGUUCUUAGUGAAGAAUAAUGACGGUAGCUAAGGAGCAAGCCACGGCUAACUACGUGCCAGCAGCCGCGGUAAUACGUAGGUGGCAAGCGUUGUCCGGAAUUACUGGGUGUAAAGGGAGCGCAGGCGGCAAGGUAAGCGAUAUGUGAAAGCCUUAAGCUUAACUUAAGGAUGGCAUAACGAACUAUCUAGCUAGAGUACAGGAGAGGAAAGCGGAAUUCCUAGUGUAGCGGUGAAAUGCGUAGAUAUUAGGAAGAACACCAGUGGCGAAGGCGGCUUUCUGGACUGAAACUGACGCUGAGGCUCGAAAGCGUGGGGAGCGAACAGGAUUAGAUACCCCCGUAU
rnacentral:rRNA from 1 species